rnacentral:rRNA from 1 species
GAUGAACGCUGGCGGCGUGCCUAAUACAUGCAAGUCGAACGAACAGACGAUGAUCUUGCGCCUCGCACGUUAGCCGCAGACGUGAGAGUAACAUGUGUAUAACCUACCUAUCAUUCUGGUAUCACUUCGGGACACCGGAUCUAAUACCGUAUAAUAUCUUGAACCGCGUUGGUCAAUGGUGAGAGACGGUUUUUCUGGCUCUUAUAGAUGCAUCCGCGCCGUAUGAGCUAGUUGUUAAGGUAACGGCUUACCAAGGCUAGGAGGCGUGGCCGAAGUGAGAGGGUGAUAGGCCACCCGGGAACUGAGACAGGGUCAAGACGACUACGGGAGGCAGCAGUAGGGAACCUUACGCAAUGGGCGAAAGCAUGACGGAGCAAGGGCGCGUGAGUGAUGAAGGUGUUCGGAUCGUAAAACUCUGUUAUUAGGGAAGAACAACUGUGUAAGUAAAUAUGCACGUCUUGACGGUACCUAAUCAGAAAGCAACGGCUAACUACGUG